GUCCUCUUGUGUUUAUAUGAGGUCUGACCUGCCCAGUGAAAUAUUUAACGGCCGCGGUAUAUUGACCGUGCAAAGGUAGCAUAAUCAUUAGUCUUUUAAUAGAAGGCUGGAAUGAAAGGUUCCACGAAUCAUUAACUGUCUCAUUUAUAUGGUUAAAAUUUAAUUUUUAAGUUAAAAAGCUUAAAUUAAAUUGUAGGACGAGAAGACCCUAUAGAGCUUUACAUUUUAUUUUUUAAUAUUAUUUUGUUAAAUAACUUUUUAUUAAAAUUAUAAUGUUUUGUUGGGGUGAUAAAAUUAUAUAUUAAACUUUUUUAUUUAGUAAACAAAUCUUUUUGAUUAUUUGAUCCAUUAUUAUUGAUUAAUAGAAUAAGUUACCUUAGGGAUAACAGCGUAAUCUUCUUUUGGAGUUCAAAUUUACAAGAAGGCUUGCGACCUCGAUGUUGGAUUAAGAUAAUAAUUUGGUGUAGUAGUUGAAUUAAUAGGUCUGUUCGACCUUUAAAAUCUUACAUGAUCUGAGUUCAGACCGG
rnacentral:rRNA from 1 species